AGCGAACGCUGGCGGCAGGCCUAACACAUGCAAGUCGAACGAACCUUUCGGGGUUAGUGGCGGACGGGUGAGUAACACGUGGGAACGUGCCUUUAGGUUCGGAAUAACUCAGGGAAACUUGUGCUAAUACCGAAUGUGCCCUUCGGGGGAAAGAUUAAUCGCCUUUAGAGCGGCCCGCGUCUGAUUAGCUAGUUGGUUGAGGUAAUGGCUCACCAAGGCGACGAUCAGUAGCUGGUCUGAGAGGAUGAACAGCCACAUUGGGACUGAGACACGGCCCAAACUCCUACGGGAGGCAGCAGUGGGGAAUCUUGCGCAAUGGGCGAAAGCCUGACGCAGCCAUGCCGCGUGAAUGAUGAAGGUCUUAGGAUUGUAAAAUUCUUUCACCGGGGACGAUAAUGACGGUACCCGGAGAAGAAGCCCCGGCUAACUUCGUG
rnacentral:rRNA from 1 species